UGGCAGAGCGGCUUCCCCCGAACCUCGGCCUGCAUGCGGGGCGAUGGGUGGGGGUGGCGGGUGGACUCGAGCAGAGGCAAGAAAAGCUCUGACGGCCUCGUUCCAAGCCCGAAAAGCGCCCCUCGCGGUCCGCCGGCUGCCUGGAAGCCUCACCCUGCCGGCUGCGCCAAGGACAGCAGCAGGGUUGCAAACGUUGUUGCCAAGUCCAGGCCCUGGCGGGUGGGCGACGCGCGCGGGGGCGUGGGGGAGUGGGCCCCUUCCCGGCAGCCUCCACCCGGCGCUUCUUUCCCCACAGCGCAGAGGACCGUGCUUCAGACAAACGCCGCGCGGCUCAUACCGGAGCAGAGGCAGUCAAGCUUCUGUCCGCGAAAAUCUGGAUCCUUUAGAACCCGAGCAAUGUACUCGUGUGGGAAUACAAAAACAUUUCCCGCGGCGUGGCUUUGCACCGACAUAGGUACAGGCCCGAAGUGCUCCCCCACGCCCUGCCGGCGCCCGGGAGCCACAGGGGGAGUUCGCCUCGAGCUGACCGGGCUGCAGAGGGCGGGCAGCUCCCAGAAAUGCACUAAUUGAGUCACAAACCACGGGCCGCCCCUAACAAAGCGAUCCAUCUCGGCCGCUCCGCGCCCAAUUUGUCCGCAGUACUUUCUUCCGCAAUUCAGAAGCAUUAUCUUGUUUUUAGAAGUAUCGCGGCAGAAACGUGGCAAUUAUCCUGGGCUCGGGUUACGCUAAAUGGCUUUAGGCUGAGAAAUGGAAGAAUACAAAUGCCGCGAACGUGCUGAUCGCCUCGCUGCCAGGCCUGGACCUGGGGUAGGGGAAGCGAGCCAGAAGAUUACGGAGGGGAGAGGGAGGUCCGGCGCAAGUGCCCACUCUUGGCCCACUCCCAAUGGCACCGGCCAGAAAGAAGUGUUGGGCCUUUGUCCCUAGAGGUUAAGGAUUCUGAGCGAUGAACCCUCAGAGGUUGGGAGAGAAGGGGUCAUAUUCUAACAUCACCCGGCUAAGCUUCUGGCCUCGGCUUUGGGUCAGGAACAGGUUGGGAGCUUCAGGCACUGAUGAGAAAGGUGCUUGGCAUCUGAUGUUGAGUGCGUCUUCUGGCUAAGUCUGGCGCUUGGCGAGUCCCUGAGCCUGAGCCUUCUCAGAGCGCAAUUGAAGUCGGCCCUUUUCCUCCAGGUGGCCAACCCACCUUCUUCCGCCUACCCGUGCCACCCUUAGACGACGCCUCCACUCAGCAUGGCGGGGUCCCGCUGACAGAGCCGACGCCCUGGCGGGACUUCAGAGUCUGCUCGCCCGGCGCUGCCUGGGUGCCCGACAUCAGCACGCUGUCAAGUGGAUGGGAAAGAACCUUGACAACACAAAACUCAUUUACUAAUGGACUGGUUUUGGGUUUCUCUUCUCCGGGUCCGCAAAUCGCCCUGCCUGAGCCCUCGGCCUAUUCAGACCUCGCGGGGAGCGGCGUCCCCCAGGAGGCAGGUGGGCGGCUGCUCCGGCCGCCGGCCUCGGGGAGCCCCGCAUCCCAAGGGUCGAGGGCACCCGGAGUUUCCGACCAAGCAGAGGAAAAAGGAUGGAUGCUGUCACUUCAGCCAGGAUUUGGGCAGUCUCUGCACUGCCGCAGAGCGACGACGCUAAUUUGUUAAAGAAACGCCUCCUGUUGCCUUUCCCUUCCAAAUAUACGUAGCUAGAGCAGGAUCCCCGCUGUCGUUCUUGAUGGCGAAGGAAUUCCAAGAAAGCAGGCCGUGAGCCCCAAAAACACCUCGCUCUAAGCCAGAAGGGAAAUAAGUGGGUCCCAGUCAGAGGUUUUUUGAACCAAGGCCUUAUGUCAACCCAGCCGAGAAACCCCAGCAGCAACCAGUGCCUCCGCAUUGGCCUUUCCAUUGACCAAUUGUGCGCACCCGGCCAUUACCUGCGCAGCAGAGGCACAGAAGAGCCGAAACCCGGCGUCGGGCGCCCCUCGCCAGCCGCGUUACCCUCGGGAGCCACGGAGCGGCGGGGGCAGCAGCUGGAGUUGCUCGUUCCCUUUAAAUCUCCGACGCAUCUCUGUUUUUCGUGUGAUUUGCAUUGACAGCAAAGGUUUUAAGUUACUAGAACAACUCUAACCUUUCUGUGCGCGAUUUAAAAUGGAUCAUUUGGUUUAUGUGGUUUGUAAAUUCAUGUCAUUUUACCUCUUUUAGUGGUUUUCAGUGAAAGGUUCCAUUUUGGGAAACCUUAUAUAUCCGAGCCAAUAAUUAACAUUUAUAACAAUUGGUUACCCUGACCAAGAGAUCGAAAUAGCAGGUAGGCUCGAUGGUACAAAGCGAAUAGCACUUUUCUUUUCUAGUUACGGGAUCUGUUGGAUUAAACACAAGGAGAAAGGCUGGCGGCCCGGCACAGCCUCCGAGAAGGAGCACCACUUCUCACUGACCCCAGGGCCCACAAUCACAGCACCCACACGGUUGUCUUCCCAGUUGUCGCCAACGUCUUGUAUGUCCUCAUUCCUUUUGAAGAGAGAAGAAAAGAAGUGGGUUGAGAGGUCUGGAGGAAGUCGAAAUGAAGGUGGUCACAUCGGUGUCUAAUUGCCUUCUCUCUGCUCCCGGUCAUCCCCUGUGAAUUUAUACCCGCCCUCCUUGGCCAGGCUAUGCCUCAUUUCCUUAUACAAAAUUUUUAAUUAUAAAGUACACCCCAUGCUCAACUUACCGUUUGUCUUUUAAGAGACGUAGCUGUACUUACAGCCGCUCCCCUGCCCCCCAUACACAUUGUAAUUCUGCGCACUUGCUCCAGACUUUAGGGUAUUAACUGAUUUUUAGAGCCAGUUUAAGCCUCUGUGCUGGUCCUCACACAGCUGCCAUGUCAAUAAGGAUUGUUCCAAGCAGAGACAUUCCUUCUGGCAGGACGGACACUACAGCUCCUUAAGACUUCAUCUGAAACAUCCUGAGCACUAAAAUAAGAUGGUGAGGGAAAAUUACCAGACACAUGGGCUUGCGCUCAGCUGUGCCAGGUUCUAGUUAAGAAAGUAAGUCAUUGGGCACACCAUGUAAUAGGUA
rnacentral:lncRNA from 1 species